UCUAUAGUCAAGUUUCCAAUGGAUUUGUAUUUUGUAAACCCUCAUCCUAAUCCCAAAUUUGGUUACUCUACUCAUAUGAACUAUCAUGUUCCUUCUUCCUCCUCUAAAUCCUCUAAUGAGUUUAUACUAUCUGAAUAUCUCAUGCUUGAUGAUUUUUGUAUUGAUCAAACAUACCAUGAUCAAGAAUCUAGGUCACAAAGUAUUGAAUCAUUAGAGAAAGUAACCUUCAGUGAUGCUAAUCAAGAGUUCAAUGAUGCAACCUCUAACAACAAUAACAUAAAGUACAAAAAUGGGAUUAAAGGAAAAAAGGGAGAAGUGGGACCAAAGAUAGCAUUUAGAACAAAAUCAGAAAUCUAUAAUAUAAGAAAAUUAAUGGCUCUGGAAAACACAUUUUUAACCUUUCUUCUUUGCCCUCCACCUCAUUGAUUUGGGGAUAAAAUGUGUCCAAAAUUUAGUUUUUGCAACCAAAUUGUACUUUUGGUUACAACUUAAAUGUUUUUACUAUUAAUUGUUACAAAUUGCAAAGAUAUUUGAUUUUAAUAGUUAAACUAGGACAAUAUGGGGACACGUGCAAGUACAAUGUGGUAUCUUUUUGAAAUAUUAGGAAAAAAAGACAUUUCGGAUAACUGAGAUAAACCGCUUUUCCUUUUGUUGGGAAAUCUGCAAAAGCAACCUUUUGUCCAUCAGAUUACCAAUAUUUCAACCCUUUUGUCCAUCAAAUAUCAAAAAGUGAUAACAUAGCAGACUGUCCAGCUCCUCUAACAUUUGAUUCUAUCACUUCCUCUUGGGUUCCCCCUUCCAUUUCUCUGUCUUCACCGUAUACAUCAACUUUCUCUCUUCAAACAUCUUCACCUCUCCAAAACGCUUCAUUUCUUCUUCACAUCUACAAGUUUCUUCCUUCUGCGGCUUUUAAUUGGGAACAUGGUGGUGUUGAAGAUUGAUGAAGGCGAUGAUGAAUGUUGUGAGAUUUGGUGGUGAUGAUGUUGCUCGAUUUACUGUUGUGUUGAAGGAUAUGAAGAUGAUGUUAUGGUUCCAGAACUUUGGUGAGAUUUUUCUGAUUUUUAUUCUUUCUGCUUUUGGAUCUACGGAUCUGUUGUCUUUUUUUCUUCUUCUACAAAAGAGAUUUAGGGUUUGAUUAUGAUUUAUGUGGCUAUGGCUGUGUGAUUAUGUGAACGGUUCUUCUUUUUGCAACAAUUUCUGAAGGGAUUUUGGAAAAUGAUGAAUGAAAAUCUUAAGGUUUCAUUGUUUGUUUCUUCUGACAAUUUUAGUCCAAGGGUAGUGUCAUAAUCUUUACUUUUCCAUGGCAGGUUCUCAUAUUUGUUGAUAACUCAGGGAGAUCCUUGGGCGUGGGAGUCAGGUUUGCACACUUAAAUUUAUUUAUCUUUAAACUGUAUUUUCUGGUCUGGAAGUAGAAACCAAUUGCCAAAAUAAAGUUGAAUCUUCUUUUGUUGAAAUGUAUAUGUUCAUAGACAGAGGCAAUAACUGUCGAACCAUGUAAAUCAAAUGACUUCUAUUUUUCGUGGUACAAUUGUGUUUUUACAGUGGGGUAACUAUGAGGAGGAUAAUGGUAGCAUUUUUAUAAAUCAGUAUGGUGGAAUACAAGGAAUUCAUUUUGCUUUAAAAGGAACUUAGAGGAACUUCAGAUUUUUUAAUUUGUUUUAAGUUUUUAAAUUAGAUCCACCUAAAUCUUAUUUGUAGAAGACAUGAAUCAUAGUCCAUUUUUUAAGUUGUUUGAGAUUUUGAAUGCAGGUUGUUUUGGCUGCUAAUGACUUACCUUCUAUCAAUGAUGUGACUUACUCUGAACUAAUUGAAGCUUUAUCAAUGGUGACACAAAUUAAUUUCAACAAGUUUUCAAUAUAACCAAAGUUUUUUGCUUUUCUAACUCUGCAGUGGUUACCAAUUAAAGGAUGAAGAAGGUAAUAUUUUGGGUGUCAGCACUUCAAAUCUUUUAAUUGCCAACUCUGGAAAUGGUUUACCCUGAUACAUUGAUUGAGCAAGAGGUUGAAGGAAACUCUGUAGCUGAUAUAUUCAAGCUCUAUGGAGAAUCUUUAUUUCGUGAUAAGGAGGUCAGUUGGAAAGGACGGUUUCAAGUUUCACAUUCUUCAGUGUUUCAAUUUUUUCUUAAAUUUUCUGAAUUUUAGAUUUUCUGCUUCUAUAUGUUAUAAGUUGAUACAAGGAAAUGGGAGAUCAAUGUGCGUGCUGUAAUACCAAACGACGAUGAUACUUAUAAGUAUCUCGAGCAGGAUAGUAUAGAAAACCAAAACAAAGAGAAUCCAAGUAAACAAUGUAGUUGGACAGAGAAAUUGUAUGAACUCUGAAGAUAUAAAGCAAUCACUAUUCCGGAAUGCAGGUUAAGGUGCGAGGUUGUUGAGAAUGUUGACCCCUUCGAGUUGUCUCUAAAAGAGGUGUCUCUAGAAAAAUAAUGGAAAGCUGACAUAACAAUUUGCAGAUGGUGAAAACGAGCAAAAUUUUCCUCUGAUGUAAUUAAGUAAUUAUUGUGAUAAAAGUUGUAAUGGUAUUCUAAA